rnacentral:lncRNA from 1 species
GAAAAUAAACAACACAGUCACUUCAACUUAAUAUAUACAUUGAUACUCAAAAUCAGAUACAAAACUUCUACACACCAAAAUACUUCAAAAUUUUUACAAUUCGAGUACAAUCAACCCUAGUCGGGUACUAGCGUGAGUACAAUAUCAAAAGUCAAAAUAACUAGACUACGCUAGUCGGUAUACGUCUCACGCCUCGCUCGUACCCCCUGUAAGGAAAACAAAUGACGUGUAAUGAGCUAAAAACCCAGUGAGAUUCCAAAUAGCAAGUUAACCCUUAUUUAAAAAUGCAAGUAUCGCGUAGCAAAGUAAUGAGCAUGAAUAGUUCAUAAAAGUGAGCAAUAAUACUUCAAGUAGCAAAUCUCAAAGUGAGCGAGUGUAAAAGUUUUUCAAAAGAAACAAUAAUCCAAUAAACAAUAAUCACUCCAAAGUAUAAGGAUACGGAUGGCUCUCAGGAGCCAAAUUCCCAUUGCAUCACCAGAGUUUGAUCAAGUAAUAGUUGACAUUCCGUCAACCUUCAAGUAAGUAACCAAUCCAGUAGAGCACCACUUACACUACUCUCCGUCCACCAUUCACACCCCCUACUGGGCCUAAAAUCCUCAAUAAAUAUUGGUGGUAAUACUCGAGUAUACCGAUUAGUCGAGGAGAUAACACUACACUCGACAUCACUAACUACCCAUGGUUCGUUAUCUAAUCGACCAAACCCUUGCCGGCUCGACUCGAUUAACUAGCCAGUGGGGUUUGGGGUCCCCAAAAAAGUCGAUGAGGUAACACUCCAAUCGACUGAAUUAAAAUAAAAGUAUGGAGACGGGAAUGAGAGGCACCUCCCACUCGGAUAGAGUAUGGUACAUACUGCCGCUCCACACUUACAAAUCAAGUACAAGUAUAUCAAGUUAAUUGCAACAAUAAACAAGUAGAUAUCAUAUUAAGGCAAGUGCGAUAAAGUACACCCUUGUCCGAUCAAUAAAUUUCGUAUCAUGUAUUUUCAUGGAUCAAGUAUUAAAACAAGUGUCCAGUUCAACCAGAUAUUUGGAAGCACUCACCAAAAGAUGCGGUGCCUUUACAAGUUACGUUCGGGUAUUACUCCGUGUGUGUGGAGUUCAAAUCUGCGAUAAAACAUUGUUUAAGAGCUUUUGAAAGUAAUUAAGGUUCGAAACUUAAACGUUUCGUUUAACGAGAAUCACAUAAUUGAAAAUUAUUUGUAGAAUAUUUGUAAACUCAUGCUCGCUCUUAAAUUUUUCAAACUUGGAAACAACUAUACUUUGAAAUACCAUUUGGGUCGACGAAAUGGCGAAAAAAUAUUUCUAUUAGUCAUAAAUUUCAUUUUUUUCAAGAGUACAAGGUCGGCCAAGUUCUAACUUAUAUAUCUCGAUAAAAGAAGGUGCAAUAUCCUAGAUGGUUCAAGUGGCAUUCGCUCUCAAACCUUACUCAAGUCGCAAGCAUAUUUACCUAGUUUUCGAGCGUAAAUUUGGGCAGCACGCCCUUUGUAUUUACCUAUUUUCCAGCCAUUUAUGGCUUCAUUCUUUUCCUCAAUCAACCCAAAGUUACACACAACAUAAUCUCAUUUCAUUAGCCGUCCAAUAGGCUCAAGGUCAUACAAGUACAAAAUCAAGCUAAGAACAUGUGCGGAACUGAAGUUUAAGUUAGGAAACAAAAGGCAGAUUUGACGUUGUUUUGCGUAACGGACACAACCGGAGCUACGCUUAUCGGAUUAGGGUGAAACUUAUACCAUUUCGAAGCUAAGGCAGAGAGCUACAACUUUGAUGAAGAGAGCUACAACUUUGAUGAAGAUCACUCGGUCCAGUUCGUAGUGUAGCUAGGUCAAAAUUUCAAAUUAUAGAACCUGAAUCUCACACUCGGGCUACUUAACCGCACUAUACGUAAAUGACAAUAACUCAAGCUACCGAAGUCCAAUAAAGGUGAUUCCAAGGAUGUUGGAAAUUUACGACAUAGCACUACAACUUUCAUGUUUUGGGAAAAUGCUAAAUCAGUACGGAUCAUGGUGAACAGACACGGUUAGUAUUGCGAAAUAUCAAAAUUGUCCAUUGGACUAAACCUAUGAGAGUCAGGGGUAUUUUUGUCUUUUCAUAGGCUACGUUGCUCCGAUUGAGUUGAAAUUUUGUAAGCAACUAUAAAAUAUCAUUAUAUACAAUUUUCAUGUUUUAUACUAAGCCUAAUUCAGCCUCUAACAUACUGAAAUGGAACCGGGCAGAACUGAAGCUACAAUUUCCAGAAAUCUGGAAUUUUGCUACAUCAAGCUAUAAUUCACAUUUUUACCUUAAAACCACCACUACUUUCUCCUUUACAAGAUUAUAUACCAUAUAGAUACAUCAUACAACACCUAACCCACAAGAAACCCUAACUCAAAAGUCAUCCAUCUAAUCAUCAAAAUCACUUGGAACAAGCAUCACAAGUACAAUACUAACAUUAAUACCCAACUUAAUCAUGAUUAAUGGAGAAAGAAAGGUUGAUCAGCCAUUAUACCUCAAAACAAGAGCUUGCAAGAAUGAUCCUCCACCUUUCCUUGAAAUUUUUUGUUCCUUAAGCUUUCCAAGCUUCCAAACUAGUGAUUGAUCGGUUUAGCUUUUCUUGUUUGCACUAAAAAGGUUGGAUUCAAUGUUGAAGAUUGAAAACUCUCUUCACUCUCCUCCCUCUCCUUGCUCUCGACUGACCAGAAAAAAAAU